rnacentral:rRNA from 1 species
UAACGACUCUCGGCAACGGAUAUCUCGGCUCUCGCAUCGAUGAAGAACGUAGCGAAAUGCGAUACUUGGUGUGAAUUGCAGAAUCCCGUGAACCAUCGAGUCUUUGAACGCAAGUUGCGCCCGAAGCCAUUAGGCCGAGGGCACGUCUGCCUGGGCGUCACGCAUCGCGUCGCCCCGCUCUCCCGCUCCCCGAAUGGGGA